AUCUCAAUUAAUAUUCAUACCAAGGGGUAAAAAAAAUAGUGAUAACAAACAAAAAAAUACACUAAGUCACAACAAAUCACUAUCUAAUAAAUAUAUAUCUAAAAAAUCUAGGGAGAAUUUAAAUGGAAAUGAAGUUCCACUCAUGUCAGCAAUUCCCACAUACUCCAGAAACCUAAGGGUUAAUAGACAACCAAUUAUACUAGAUCAUUUAGAACCAUCACCUACUACAAGUGAUAUAGUCUAUUACUUUAUACUUAUAAUAAUCAAAAGUUGGUUCCAAAGCUAACAU